GGUCCGUUGGUUAAGGGGUUAAGACACCGCCUUUUCACGGCGGUAACACGGGUUCGAAUCCCGUACGGACUA
rnacentral:tRNA from 1 species